GGUGGUAUGACUCAAGUGGUAGAGCAUCUGUCUAGCAAGUGCAAGGCCCUGAGUUCAAACCCCUGUACCACCA
rnacentral:tRNA from 1 species